rnacentral:rRNA from 1 species
GUCCACACUGUAAACGUUGAUGACUCGAUGUUGGCGAUACACAGCCAGCGUCCAAGAGCAAUCGUUAAGUCAUCCACCUGGGGAGUACGCCGGCAACGGUGAAACUCAAAGGAAUUGACGGGGUCCGCACAAGCGGUGGAGCAUGUGGUUUAAUUCGAUGAUACGCGAGGAACCUUACCUGGGCUAGAAUGCCUUUGAUGGGUACAGAGAUGUAUCGUUUCGCAAGAACAAAGAGCAAGGUGCUGCAUGGCUGUCGU